rnacentral:rRNA from 1 species
GGGUCAGUAGGUUGGUCGUGCUACCGGUACGUACUGGUCUCACUGAUUCCUCCUUCCUGAAGAACCGUAAUGCCAUUAAUUUGGUGUUGCGGGGAAACAGGACUGUUACUUUGAAAAAAUUAGAGUGUUUAAAGCAAGCUAACGCUUGAAUACAUAAGCAUGGAAUAAUGAAAUAGGACGAUCGAUCCUAUUUUGUUGGUCUCUAGGAUUGACGUA